rnacentral:rRNA from 1 species
GACGAACGCUGGCGGCGUGCUUAACACAUGCAAGUCGAACGGAAAGGCCCUGCUUUUGUGGGGUGCUCGAGUGGCGUACGGGUGAGUAACACGUGAGUAACCUGCCCUUGACUUUGGGAUAACUUCAGGAAACUGGGGCUAAUACCGGAUAGGAGCUCCUGCUGCAUGGUGGGGGUUGGAAAGUUUCGGCGGUUGGGGAUGGACUCGCGGCUUAUCAGCUUGUUGGUGGGGUAGUGGCUUACCAAGGCUUUGACGGGUCGCCGGCCUGAGAGGGUAACCGGCCACAUUGGGACUGAGAUACGGCCCAGACUCCUACGGGAGGCAGCAGUGGGGAAUAGUGCACAAUGGGCUGAAGCCUGAUGCAGCAACGCCGCGUGCGGGAUGACGGCCUUCGGGUUGUAAUCCGCUUUCGCCUGUGACGAAGCGUGAGUGACGGUAAUGGGUAAAGAAGCACCGGCUAACUACGUG